rnacentral:rRNA from 1 species
CCUACGGGAGGCAGCAGUGAGGAAUAUUGGUCAAUGGACGAGAGUCUGAACCAGCCAAGUAGCGUGAAGGAUGAUUGCCCUAUGGGUUGUAAACUUCUUUUAUAUGGGAAUAAAAUGUUCCACGUGUGGGAUUUUGUAUGUACCAUAUGAAUAAGGAUCGGCUAACUCCGUGCCAGCAGCCGCGGUAAUACGGAGGAUCCGAGCGUUAUCCGGAUUUAUUGGGUUUAAAGGGAGCGUAGGUGGAUUGUUAAGUCAGUUGUGAAAGUUUGCGGCUCAACCGUAAAAUUGCAGUUGAAACUGGCAGGCUUGAGUACAGUAGAGGUGGGCGGAAUUCGUGGUGUAGCGGUGAAAUGCUUAGAUAUCACGAAGAACUCCGAUUGCGAAGGCAGCUCACUGGACUGCAACUGACACUGAGGCUCGAAAGUGUGGGUAUCAAACAGGAUUAGAUACCCCAGUAGUC